rnacentral:lncRNA from 1 species
UUUUUUUCUGACACUAUAAUAACUCUUUAAAAAAUUGAUAAUCUGGAUACAAUAGUAUAGCCCCUUCCCCUUUCGUUGAACUACGCAAGCGCACAAAAUUGUACUAUCCAUUACACGAAUAGAACAGACAUCCAUAGGUCAUACUACCAUUUUACACGGAUAUUGUGAUAUAGUUUGUGUCAUAUCUUACAUAUCUGACUGCAAAUCGAUAUAAACAAAAAUCACAGCUUCACUUAAAGAAACAACUUCUUCAAAAAAAAA